UACGUAGGGUCCGAGCGUUGUCCGGAAUUACUGGGCGUAAAGAGCUCGUAGGUGGUUUGUCGCGUUGUUCGUGAAAACUCACAGCUCAACUGUGGGCGUGCGGGCGAUACGGGCAGACUUGAGUACUGCAGGGGAGACUGGAAUUCCUGGUGUAGCGGUGGAAUGCGCAGAUAUCAGGAGGAACACCGGUGGCGAAGGCGGGUCUCUGGGCCGAUACUGACGCUGAGGAGCGAAAGUGUGGGGAGCGAACAGG
rnacentral:rRNA from 1 species